ensembl:lncRNA EIF3J-DT EIF3J divergent transcript
ACAGGGGGCUGAGGAGUGCUGGGUCGGGCUUCCAGCUCCCUACAACGCAGACCAGUACUGGAGUUCGUGGUGCUGGAAGACCGCCGCCCGACUCUGGGCCCCGGGUAGGAAACGUAAGUGCCAGGAAGUUAGCAGAGUGGUUCUUUGGCUGGCGCCUGAACCUCGCCAGUCUUCGUCGCCCCUCCCCUGCCAACGCCUACCCCGCUUCGACCGGAGGGUGCGCUGUCCCUCUGGUCACUGUGAUCACCGUCCAUGGCCGCCUGCGGAUACCCACGCCGUGCUCAGAAGAGGGCUCUGAGGCCACGCCCGCCUGUGGGGUCGGUGGCCGGGCUUCCGGGACCCCAGAGGGAGUCGUCGCGCGCUAGGUGGAGGGGACCCCUCUGGAAUCCGGCGAUCCCCGGGCGCAGAUGCAGGAGCGGGUGGGGAGAGCCGCGUUCCUGGCAUGUUUGCCUCGAGUUAGUCACGAAGGAAUCGAAGAGAGCCUUAGUCUUCGAGGCUUUUCCCUUCCUGUGAGCCCCUUUGAGGCCAGCACAUUGAUUUUUUUUUCUUUCGCAGAACAAUUUCGGACCUCCUGGGGUCUAUGCUAGGUAUGAGGUGUAUCUUUGCCCUCCAUCAAGUAGCAAAGAUGGACAUGUAAACAAAUUUCGACACUGUGAUGACUGCCACAAAAAGCAGCAUUAUGAGGUUGAAUGUAAAAGGAUAACCUUAGCGGCGGCGGGGGCCGGAGGAUGAAGGAAGGCUUCCUGAGGUAGGCGCUGGUUGAAACUGAAGUUGGAGAGAGCAAGUGGCAUUUGCUGAAGUGCAUUUCCGGUAGAAAACUCCAGUGGUCCCUCACCUGACUGAGUGGCGCAGUCAGAGAUAAAUGGAACAGGUACACUGACCAGAAAGGGCAAGAUGGGCUAAACUUCGCCGUUGGGCCACUGGGCUCCCCCGCAGGAUUUUAAAGAGCUAGCCAGUAGAUGGAUUUUGUUUUUGUUAUUUUCGCAAUUUAUUUUCAAAUAUGUAAUACGCGAACUUGGUACAACAUUCAUGUGAUAAAAAGGUAGAUACGUGGGCAGGACGCGGUGGCUCACGCCUGUAAUCCCAGCAUUUUGGGAGGCCGAGAUGGGCGGAUCAUUUGCUGUCAGGAGUUCGAGACCAGCCUGGCCAACAUGAGUCUACAAAUAAACAUUUUAUAAAGAUGAUCCUUCAAUACAUAUUCUACAGCCCAGUUAAAAUGUGAGAGGCCAUGAUCUACAGACAGCCAUUUAUAAAGGUGGAUCAGGGCCGGACACGGUGGCUCAACGUCUGUAAUCCCGGCACUGUGGGAGGCCAAAGCGGGAGGAUCGCUUGAGCCCAGGAGUUCGAGACCAACCUGGCCAACAUGGUGAGACCCCAUCUUUACAAAAAAAUAUAUAUAUCCAGGCAUAGUGGUGUGCACCUGUGGUCCUGUGGUCCCAGCUACUCAGGAAGCUGAGGCAGUUGAGGCUGCAGUGAGCCACGUUCUGGCCACUACACUCCAGCCUGGGCAUCAAAGUGACAAGACCAAAAAAAAAAAAAAAUGUGGAUUGGAAGGAGGCAAGAAAGAAGUCAGGAAAAGGGUGGAAUGUAAGUCCCUAAGGACACAAUCUUACUCACAAUUGUAUCUCCAACAUUUGGCAUAAUGCCUAAUACGUAAGUAUUUUAUGAAUUAAUUAAACGAGAACACAAGCCUAAAUUAAGGCAAUGGCAAUGGAGAAGAAGAAACCAACUUGAGAAAUAUUUAAAGGUCAUUGUCAAUGGAACUUAGUGACUUUAAUGGUUAAUUUUAUCUAUCAACUUGGCUAGGCGAUGCUACCCAUGUUACUCAGUUUUUGGUCAAACACUAGUCUAGUUGUUGCUAUGAAUUGUAUUUGUUAGAUGUGAUUAACAUUUAAAUCAGCAGACUUUGAUUAAAGUACAUUACCCUCUAUAAUGAGGGUGGGCCGCAUCCGGUCAGUUCAAAUUAAAACGAGACCCUUAAGAAGAAGCAAUUCAGCCUCCAGACUGCAGCGUCAAAUCUCCCUGGGUCUCCAGGCUGUUUGUCUGCCCUGCAGAUUUCAGACUUGCCAGCUCCCAGAAUAAUGUGAGCCAAUUCCUUAAAAUAAAUCUCUUUCUGCAUAUA